UGGCGGACGGGUGAGUAAUGUCUGGGAAACUGCCCGAUGGAGGGGGAUAACUACUGGAAACGGUAGCUAAUACCGCAUAACGUCGCAAGACCAAAGAGGGGGACCUUAGGGCCUCUUGCCAUCGGAUGUGCCCAGAUGGGAUUAGCUAGUAGGUGGGGUAACGGCUCACCUAGGCGACGAUCCCUAGCUGGUCUGAGAGGAUGACCAGCCACACUGGAACUGAGGCACGGUCCAG
rnacentral:rRNA from 1 species